rnacentral:rRNA from 1 species
GACGAACGCUGGCGGCGUGCUUAACACAUGCAAGUCGAACGGAAGGGCCCUGCAUUUGUGGGGUGCUCGAGUGGCGAACGGGUGAGUAACACGUGAGUAACCUGCCCUUGACUUUGGGAUAACUUCAGGAAACUGGGGCUAAUACCGGAUAGGAGCUCCUGCUGCAUGGUGGGGGUUGGAAAGUUUCGGCGGUUGGGGAUGGACUCGCGGCUUAUCAGCUUGUUGGUGGGGUAGUGGCUUACCAAGGCUUUGACGGGUAGCCGGCCUGAGAGGGUGACCGGCCACAUUGGGACUGAGAUACGGCCCAGACUCCUACGGGAGGCAGCAGUGGGGAAUAUUGCACAAUGGGCGGAAGCCUGAUGCAGCAACGCCGCGUGCGGGAUGACGGCCUUCGGGUUGUAAACCGCUUUCGCCUGUGACGAAGCGUGAGUGACGGUAAUGGGUAAAGAAGCACCGGCUAACUACGUG